CCUGACCUAAACUUUCC
rnacentral:misc_RNA from 1 species